rnacentral:rRNA from 1 species
GACGAACGCUGGCGGCGCGCUUAACACAUGCAAGUCGAGCGAAGCGGCGUACGGGUGAGUAACACGUGAGUAACCUGCCUUAGACAUUGUGAUAGCCUCGGGAAACCGGGUUUAAUACCAAAUGGUCUAAGAUGGACUCGCGUCCCAUUAGCUAGUUGGUGAGGUAACGGCCCGCCAAGGCGACGAUGGGUAGCCGGCCUGAGAGGGUGAACGGCCACAUUGGAACUGAGAAGUGGUCAAAACUAUACGGGAGGCAGCAGUGGUGAAUAUUGCACAAUGGAGGGAACUCUGAUGAAGCGAAGCCGCGUGAACGAAGAAGGCUUUCGAGUCGUAAAGUUCUUUUAUAUGGGAAGCGGUACCAUAAGAAAAAGCCCCGGCUAACUACGUGCCAGCAGCCGCGGUAAUUC